GACGAACGCUGGCGGCGUGCCUAAUACAUGCAAGUAGAACGCUGAAGCGAGGAGCUUGCUCUUCUUGGAUGAGUUGCGAACGGGUGAGUAACGCGUAGGUAACCUGCCUGGUAGCGGGGGAUAACUAUUGGAAACGAUAGCUAAUACCGCAUAACAACAGUUGUUGCAUGACAGCUGUUUAAAAGAUGCAAUUGCAUCACUACCAGAUGGACCUGCGUUGUAUUAGCUAGUUGGUGAGGUAACGGCUCACCAAGGCGACGAUACAUAGCCGACCUGAGAGGGUGAUCGGCCACACUGGGACUGAGACACGGCCCAGACUCCUACGGGAGGCAGCAGUAGGGAAUCUUCGGCAAUGGGGGGAACCCUGACCGAGCAACGCCGCGUGAGUGAAGAAGGGUUUCGGAUCGUAAAGCUCUGUUGUAAGAGAAGAACGGGUGUGAGAGUGGAAAGUUCACACUGUGACGGUAUCUUACCAGAAAGGGACGGCUAACUACGUG
rnacentral:rRNA from 1 species